rnacentral:rRNA from 1 species
GCUUGUCUCAAAGAUUAAGCCAUGCAUGUCUCAGUAUAAGUUCCUGUACGGCGAAACUGCGAAUGGCUCAUUAAAACAGUUACAGUUUAUUUGAUGGUUCAUACUACUUGGAUAACCGUAGUAAUUCUAGAGCUAAUACAUGCGUCAAAACCCAACUUCUGGGAGGGUUGUAUUUAUUAGAUGGAAACCAAUGCGGGGCAACCCGGUAUAUGGUGAUUCAUAAUAACUUUCGGAUCGAUCUUCGGAUCGAUGCAUCAUUCAAGUUUCUGCCCUAUCAGCUUUGGAUGGUAGGGUAUUGGCCUACCAUGGCUUUAACGGGUAACGGAGAAUUAGGGUUCGAUUCCGGAGAGGGAGCCUGAGAAAUGGCUACCACAUCCAAGGAAGGCAGCAGG